rnacentral:rRNA from 1 species
GUUGAACGCUGGCGGCAGGCUUAACACAUGCAAGUCGAGCGGAGAGAGGUAGCUUGCUACUGAUCUUAGCGGCGGACGGGUGAGUAAUGCUUAGGAAUCUGCCUAUUAGUGGGGGACAACAUUUCGAAAGGAAUGCUAAUACCGCAUACGUCCUACGGGAGAAAGCAGGGGAUCUUCGGACCUUGCGCUAAUAGAUGAGCCUAAGUCGGAUUAGCUAGUUGGUGGGGGAAAGGCCUACCAAGGCGACGAUCUGUAGCGGGUCUGAGAGGAUGAACCGCCCCACUGGGACUGAGACACAGCCCAGACUCCUACGGGAGGCAGCAGUGGGGAAUAUUGGACAAUGGGCGCAAGCCUGAUCCAUCCAUGCCGCGUGUGUGAAGAAGGCCUUAUGGUUGUAAAGCACUUUAAGCGAGGAGGAGGCUACUUUAGAUAAUACCUAGAGAUAGUGGACGUUACUCGCAGAAUAAGCACCGGCUAACUCUGUGCCAGCCGCCGCAGUAA